UACGUAGGGUGCGAGCGUUGUCCGGAAUUAUUGGGCGUAAAGAGCUUGUAGGCGGUUUGUCGCGUCUGCUGUGAAAAUCCGGGGCUCAACCCCGGACUUGCAGUGGGUACGGGCAGACUAGAGUGUGGUAGGGGAGACUGGAAUUCCUGGUGUAGCGGUGGAAUGCGCAGAUAUCAGGAGGAACACCGGUGGCAAAGGCGGGUCUCUGGGCCGAAACUGACGCUGAGACGCGAAAGCGUGGGGAGCGAACAGG
rnacentral:rRNA from 1 species